UUACAACCAUAUCAUGUUGAAACAUUGGUUCCUGUAUGAUUGGUGAAGUUAAGCAUUGUCGAGCCUGGUCAGUACCUAGAUGGGUGAGCACUGGGGAAUACCAGGUACU